CCUACGGGUGGCAGCAGUAGGGAAUCUUCCACAAUGGGCGCAAGCCUGAUGGAGCAACACCGCGUGAGUGAAGAAGGGUUUCGGCUCGUAAAACUCUGUUGUUGGGGAAGAACGUGCGUGAGAGUAACUGUUCACGCAGUGACGGUAGCCAAUCAGAAAGUCACGGCUAACUACGUGCCAGCAGCCGCGGUAAUACGUAGGUGGCAAGCGUUAUCCGGAUUUAUUGGGCGUAAAGCGCGCGCAGGCGGUUGCUUAGGUCUGAUGUGAAAGCCUUCGGCUUAACCGAAGAAGUGCAUCGGAAACCGGGCGACUUGAGUGCAGAAGAGGACAGUGGAACUCCAUGUGUAGCGGUGGAAUGCGUAGAUAUAUGGAAGAACACCAGUGGCGAAGGCAGCUUUCUGGACUGCAACUGACACUGAGGCUCGAAAGUGUGGGUAUCAAACAGGAUUAGAUACCCGAGUAGUC
rnacentral:rRNA from 1 species